CAAAGCCAUUGCUUUUGAAGUUGUUACAGUCUGUUGGUGCACAAAAAGACACACAAUGAAAGAGGUUCUGUUUUACCUUGGCCAGUACAUCAUGACUAACCGCCUGCAUGACAAAAAGCAGCAGCAUAUUAUGUAUUCUUCAAACAACCUUCAGGGAGACCUGUUUGGCGUGCCCAACUUCUCUGUGAAGGAGCACAGGAAAAUAUAGACACUGAUCUACAGAAACUUGGUGACAGUUAACCAGCAGGAACUUGCAGUCUCUGGCACAUCUGUGAGUGAGGACAGGUAUCACCUUGCAGGCAGGAGUGAUGCAAAGGACCCUGUCCCAGAGCUAUAGGAAGAAAAGCCUUUGUCUUCACAUGUGGCUUCCUGUUCAUUUGCCUCAUCUAGAAGGAAAGCCAUCAGUGAGACAGGAUCUUGAUGCUGGUAUAAGUGAGCAUUCAGGUGAUUGACUGGAUCAGGAUUCAGUUUCAGAUCAAUUUAGCGUAGAAUUUGAAGUUGAAUCUUUUGAUUCAGAAGAUUACAGCCCCAGUGAUGAAGGACAAGAACUCUCCGAUAAAGAUGAUGAGGUGUAUCGGGUUACUGUGUACCAGGUGGGUGAGAGUGAUACCGACUCCUUUGAAGAAGAUCUGGAAAUUUCCUUAGCUGACUACUGGACAUGCAUCACUUGCAACAAGGUGGACCCUCCCCUGCCGUUGCACUGCAACAGGUGCUGGGCCCUGCAUGAGAACUAACUCCCUGAGGUCAAAGGGGAGGAUGGAGGGAUGCCCCUGAGAAGGCCAUGCCGGAGCACUCAGUGCAGGCUGAGGAGGGCUUCGAUGGUCCCAAUUGUAGAAAGACUUCAGCGAGCGAUUCCAAGGAGCCAAGUCCUGAGAAAAGUGAUGAGAAGGUUGCACCAGCCUCCCAGUCGCAGGACAGCGAGGACUACUACCAGUCAUCCAUUUCAAGUAGCAUCACUUGCAGCAGCCAGGAGGACUUCUGAGAGUUUGACAGAGAAGAGAUGCAAGACAGGGAAGAUGGCGUAGAGGCUAGCUUUCCUCCUCAACAGCAUCGAGCUGUGUGUGAUCUGCCAAGGUCGAUCCAAGAACAGGUGUAUCAUGCAUGGCAAAACCAGACACCUCAUGGCCUGCUUCCCGUGUGCCAGGAAACUGAAGAAGAGAAACAAGCCCUGCCCGGUGUUCAGCAGCCCAUACAGAUAAUCGUGCUAACCUACUUCCUCUAG